UAAACCUCUGCGAUUACUUGUUUUACAAUAAAACGUUUAAGUUUAGUCACAUUCACAACUAUAGUUCUCUAGAUAAUUAUGGUAAUUAUUCAUUGUCUUUAGCCUUGAAGACAUACGGAAUUGCAACAGUAAUUUUGUGAAAUGAGACACUGUAAUUGGUUAUACAUGAAUGGAUAAUAAACGAAUGUCGCUGUGCGUACGAAUUCCGUUGUUGUUUAAAACAACAGUUCAAGAAACCCAAUGUUCAAGUGGCAAGAUUUAGUGCAACGAGCAUCGCAUUCAACUUGUUAACAGAUCGCGUGUUAAAGAAAUAUAAUGCACGAAGUGCCGAUCCCGGGUAUUUCUUGAAGUUUGAAUAUCGACUAGCACUUAGCACAUCGCGUUAACGACUCAUGCAUCUAGGCAAUUCACACAACGAUUUAACACGGAAGGUAUGUGGUUAUCUCGCAGCGUCAGAGUGUAUGUAUUUAGAAGUUAAUGAGGUCCUUCCGCGCCUAAGACUGAAUAAUGUGAGGACCCGGAGAGUGUCCCAGCAAUCUUACCUAAUUAACUAUAUAACUCACGAAAGUGUGAGCGAAUUUUAAAAUAUAAGUGCUAUUUGAACUUCCAGCCAUUUUUUUUACUGAAUGAUUUUUUUUUGGUUUGGUUUUGUGUUACGAGGGAAGCAGGAGUGCCAGGAGAAAAACCCACCUGUCGGCUAUGGUGACCACUAACCAAACUCACAUUCAUCCGGGAAUGGUGUUUGAACCCGAGUCGCCUUGGUGAGAAGCGCUUGUACGAACAACUGCGUUAACCAGACAGGUAGUUGACACUGCUUCAGAAUGGCUUCAGGCAGUUUUCAUCCAAACAUCGUGGUCCAAUCGGAGACGGGUAA